AUUUAUAUAGUAUAUUUAAUACAAUGCAUUUUCAAUGCAUAAAUGGAUAAAAUAUCCUUUAAAUA
rnacentral:tRNA from 12 species